ACGGCGCGAAUGGGAGAGCGCGGCAGGAGGUCGCCGCCGAAGGCGCAAUCCACCCGGAAACGCUCAGGCAAAAGGACCGUUCGUGAAUG
rnacentral:ncRNA from 2 species